AUUGAACGCUGGCGGUAUGCUUAACACAUGCAAGUCGAACGGUAGCAGGCCUUCGGGCGCUGACGAGUGGCGGACGGGUGAGUAACGCGUAGGAAUCUGCCUAGUAGUGGGGGACAACUUAUGGAAACGUAAGCUAAUACCGCAUACGCCCUACGGGGGAAAGCGGGGGAUCUUCGGACCUCGCGCUAUUAGAUGAGCCUGCGUUGGAUUAGCUAGUUGGUGGGGUAAAGGCCUACCAAGGCGACGAUCCAUAGCUGGUCUGAGAGGACGAUCAGCCACACUGGGACUGAGACACGGCCCAGACUCCUACGGGAGGCAGCAGUGGGGAAUAUUGGACAAUGGGCGAAAGCCUGAUCCAGCAAUACCGCGUGUGUGAAGAAGGCCUGAGGGUUGUAAAGCACUUUCAAUAGGAAGGAAUACCUAUCGGCUAAUACCCGGUAGACUGACAUUACCUAUACAAGAAGCACCAGCUAACUCCGUGCCAGCCGCCGCUGUAA
rnacentral:rRNA from 1 species